AUACGUAGGUGGCAAGCGUUGUCCGGAUUUACUGGGUGUAAAGGGCGCGUAGGUGGGUAAAUAAGUCAGAUGUGAAAUGCCGGGGCUUAACUUCGGGGCUGCAUUUGAAACUGUUUAUCUUGAGUAUCGGAGAGGCAGGCGGAAUUCCUAGUGUAGCGGUGAAAUGCGUAGAGAUUAGGAAGAACACCAGUGGCGAAGGCGCUUCUCUGGACUGUAACUGACGCUGAGGCUCGAAAGCGUGGGGAGC
rnacentral:rRNA from 1 species